rnacentral:rRNA from 1 species
CCUACGGGAGGCAGCAGUGAGGAAUAUUGGUCAAUGGACGAGAGUCUGAACCAGCCAAGUCGCGUGAAGGAUGACUGCCCUAUGGGUUGUAAACUUCUUUUAUAUGGGAAUAAAAUGUUCCACGUGUGGGGUUGUGUAUGUACCAUAUGAAUAAGGAUCGGCUAACUCCGUGCCAGCAGCCGCGGUAAUACGGAGGAUCCGAGCGUUAUCCGGAUUUAUUGGGUUUAAAGGGAGCGUAGAUGGGUUGUUAAGUCAGUUGUGAAAUUUUGCGGCUCAACCGUAAAAUUGCAAUUGAUACUGGCAGUCUUGAGUGCAGUUGAGGUAGGCGGAAUUCGUGGUGUAGCGGUGAAAUGCUUAGAUAUCACGAAGAACUCCGAUUGCGAAGGCAGCUUACUAGACUGCCACUGACAUUGAUGCUCGAAAGUGUGGGUAUCAAACAGGAUUAGAUACCCUGGUAGUC